CGAACGGUAACAGGAAGCAGCUUGCUGCUUCGCUGACGAGUGGCGGACGGGUGAGUAAUGUCUGGGGAGCUGCCUGAUGAGGGGGAUAACUACUGGAAACGGUAGCUAAUACCGCAUAAUGUCGCAAGACCAAAGAGGGGGACCUUCGGGCCUCUUGCCAUCGGAUGUGCCCAGAUGGGAUUAGCUUGUUGGUGGGGUAACGGCUCACCAAGGCGACGAUCCCUAGCUGGUCUGAGAGGAUGACCAGCCACACCGGAACUGAGACACGGUCCAGACUCCUACGGGAGGCAGCAGUGGGGAAUAUUGCACAAUGGGCGCAAGCCUGAUGCAGCCAUGCCGCGUGUAUGAAGAAGGCCUUCGGGUUGUAAAGUACUUUCAGCGGGGAGGAAGGGAGUAAAGUUAAUACCUUUGCUCAUUGACGUUACCCGCAGAAGAAGCACCGGCUAACUCCGUGCCAGCAGCCGCGGUAAUACGGAGGGUGCAAGUGUUAAUCGGAAUUACUGGGCGUAAAGCGCACGCAGGCGGUUUGUUAAGUCAGAUGUGAAAUCCCCGGGCUCAACCUGGGAACUGCAUCUGAUACUGGCAAGCUUGAGUCUCGUAGAGGGGGGUAGAAUUCCAGGUGUAGCGGUGAAAUGCGUAGAGAUCUGGAGGAAUACCGGUGGCGAAGGCGGCCCCCUGGACGAAGACUGACGCUCAGGUGCGAAAGCGUGGGGAGCAAACAGGAUUAGAUACCCUGGUAGUCCACGCCGUAAACGAUGUCGACUUGGAGGUUGUGCCCUUGAGGCGUGGCUUCCGGAGCUAACGCGUUAAGUCGACCGCCUGGGGAGUACGGCCGCAAGGUUAAAACUCAAAUGAAUUGACGGGGGCCCGCACAAGCGGUGGAGCAUGUGGUUUAAUUCGAUGCAACGCGAAGAACCUUACCUGGUCUUGACAUCCACGGAAGUUUUCAGAGAUGAGAAUGUGCCUUCGGGAACCGUGAGACAGGUGCUGCAUGGCUGUCGUCAGCUCGUGUUGUGAAAUGUUGGGUUAAGUCCCGCAACGAGCGCAACCCUUAUCCUUUGUUGCCAGCGGUCCGGCCGGGAACUCAAAGGAGACUGCCAGUGAUAAACUGGAGGAAGGUGGGGAUGACGUCAAGUCAUCAUGGCCCUUACGACCAGGGCUACACACGUGCUACAAUGGCGCAUACAAAGAGAAGCGACCUCGCGAGAGCAAGCGGACCUCAUAAAGUGCGUCGUAGUCCGGAUUGGAGUCUGCAACUCGACUCCAUGAAGUCGGAAUCGCUAGUAAUCGUGGAUCAGAAUGCCACGGUGAAUACGUUCCCGGGCCUUGUACACACCGCCCGUCACACCAUGGGAGUGGGUUGCAAAAGAAGUAGGUAGCUUAACCUUCGGGAGGGCGCUUACCACUUUGUGAUUCAUGACUGGGGUGAAGUCGUAACAAGGUA
rnacentral:rRNA from 1 species